rnacentral:rRNA from 1 species
GCGGGGUUCCUUAAACCUGCAAGUUGAGCGGAAUAAAGGGAGCUUGCUUCCCAUAGUUAACGGGGGACGGGUGAAUAACCAGUGGGCCACCUUCCCCGUAGAAUGGGAUAACCCCGAGAAAUUGGUGGUAAUACCGGGUAAUCGAUCGAACCGCCAGGUUUGAUUGUAAAAGAAGGGUUUUAGCUAUCACUACAGGAUGGGCCCGCGGCGCAUUAGCUAGUUGGUAAGGUAAUGGCUUACCAAGGCGACGAUGCGUAGCCGACCUGAGAGGGUGAUCGGCCACACUGGGACUGAGACACGGCCCAGACUCCUACGGGAGGCAGCAGUAGGGAAUCUUCCGCAAUGGACGAAAGUCUGACGGAGCAACGCCGCGUGAGUGAUGAAGGGUUUCGGCUCGUAAAGCUUCUGUUGUUAGGGANAGAACAAGUACCGUUCAAGUAGGGCGGUACCUUGACGUCCAACCA